UUUUUCCUUUCUCUUCUUUCCUAUCUUUCUUUAUUUCUUUGAACGAUCUUCGGUGCAAGUAUUCUAUGGGUUUUGGGUGUAGGUGUGUGUGUGUGUGGGUGUGUGUAAAUCAUAAAUGUUUGUUCCUAUUUUUUGUUUAACCAUUCUGUUGUACAUCUUUUUUUUUUAUCUUUCUUUCUAUUAUUUAUCUUGUUUUUUAGAUUUUUUUAACAUUUCUUUUCUUUUUUUGAAUAUCAAUUUCAAUUAAAAUUGCUUUAGGAUUCGUUUUAAAAUUGUUUUCAGAAUUCGCGGAGUGUGUUACAUUUUUUCUUCUUUAUGAUUUCCAAAUCUUUUCUCAAAUUACAAUUUAAAUUAGUUCUUUAGUUUUUUUUUUGUUUUUCUGAAGACUUCUCCUGCUUUUAGUACAGUUCAUUUUUAAUUAUUCUUUCUUUAUGUUUCUUUAGUUUUCGCAACUGCUUAAGAGCCAAAUUUUGUUGAAUUCUGUGCAGUGUACAUUUUCUUUUCUUGUUUCUAUUUAAAUUUAAAUUACGAACAUUUUAAACAUUUUUUAGAAUUUCUCAAAUUAAAUUUAGAAAUUUUUUAGCUACCAAAAGAGGUUUGCCGAUUUCGUUCGCUUUUUGUUUAUUUUUCGCAAUUGCUAAAGAGCCAAAUUUUGUUGAAUUUCCGAAUUUCUGUCGAGUGUACAACAUUCUUUUCUGAGAAUUAUUUAUACAUUUUUAAGGAUUUCUCUUCUCUUUCUUCGCUAUUUUGUGUAGUUUUCGCAACUUCUAAGACCCAAAUUUUGUUGAAUUCUGUCAAACAUCUUUAAGUACCAAAAAAAUUACUAAAUCGCGCACUAAAGUUACUUAGACUUGAGAGUUACUUAUACAUUUUAAAGGAUUUCUUCAAGUAUUUUAGGUACCUAAAGAGGUUUGCCGUUUUCAUUAUAUUAAAUUUAAAAUUAUUCUUAUUUUAAGGCUUAUUUUUUAUGCAAGUUCGUAACUUUAAAAGCGGAAAACUGUACCAAUUCGUUUAAAUUUGAGCGUUCCUUUAGUGUUCGCUGUUCUUAAUUUUAAUUUGAGAGUUGCUGGUACGAUUAUUAUUUAUACAUAUUUUGAUUUUGAGUGCUAAAGAGCUUUACAUUUAAAUUGAAGUGCCUUUCAUGUACAUUUUUCUGAAGCGGUCUCCAGCAUUCUUUUUAUACAUUUUCUGAACGUAUUUUUAAAUGAAUUUUCCAGCAACGAUGUCGGGAAAUUUGUCUACUUCUGACUAGAGAAAGACCGCGCGUGUGUGUCUGUCUAAAUUAUGUUUCGAAAUUCGUUUUCGAUCACAAACAUUUUGAGUCUUUUUUUUCAAACUAAAAAAUAAAAACUUAUACUAAUGCUUUCUAGUUUACUACGAUUUUUUCGACGUCGGAGUAUUCGCGUUACUUUGUAGUUAAGGUUCGAAAAACAACAAACAAAAAAAUAUCUAACUUAAGUCUGUAAAUGUAUCCUUAGGGAAGCUGCUAAAAACUAAGUGGAUGACCAGCCUAGCGAUACAAUGUUGUUGCGCAUUUGUAGGCCAAGUAUGACCUGAAAUACGCGCAGUGCUUGGCCAAGUUUAAAGCCAAAACAUCGUAUCAUAUCCUCGCGCGUAAGCAUCAACAGUGCUUCACCAUCCAUGUCCUGUCUGUUGAGUUCUUGUGCCUCCUCCGGAUAGAAACGUGACACAUAUGCGGUAACCUGUUCGGUAGUCCAGUUGCUC
rnacentral:lncRNA from 1 species